rnacentral:rRNA from 1 species
UACGUAGGUCCCGAGCGUUGUCCGGAUUUAUUGGGCGUAAAGAGCACGUAGGCGGGGAUUUAAGUCAGGUGUGAAAGACCGCGGCCCAACUGCGGGGUUGCACUUGAAACUGAAUAUCUUGAGGGCAGGAGAGGUCAGUGGAAUUCCUGGUGUAGCGGUGAAAUGCGUAGAUAUCAGGAGGAACACCAGUGGCGAAGGCGACUGACUGGACUGACCCUGACGCUGAGGUGCGAAAGCGUGGGUAGCAAACAGG